UGGCAAACGGGUGAGUAACACGUAAAAAACCUGCCUUCAGAGGGGGACAACAGUUGGAAACGACUGCUAAUACCGCAUAAGCCCACAGGUCGGCAUCGACCAGAGGGAAAAGGAGCAAUCCGCUUUGAGAUGGCCUCGCGUCCGAUUAGCUAGUUGGUGAGGUAACGGCCCACCAAGGCGACGAUCGGUAGCCGGACUGAGAGGUUGAACGGCCACAUUGGGACUGAGACACGGCCCAG
rnacentral:rRNA from 1 species